AACGAACGCUGGCGGCAGGCUUAACACAUGCAAGUCGAGCGCAUGUCUUCGGACAUGAGCGGCAGACGGGUGAGUAACACGUGGGAAUCUACCUAGCUCUACGGAAUACACCAGGGAAACUUGGAUCAAUACCGUAUACGCCCGCAAGGGGAAAGAUUUAUCGGAGUUGGAUGAGCCCGCGUCGGAUUAGCUAGUUGGUGGGGUAAAGGCCUACCAAGGCGACGAUCCGUAGCUGGUCUGAGAGGAUGAUCAGCCACACUGGGACUGAGACACGGCCCAGACUCCUACGGGAGGCAGCAGUGGGGAAUAUUGGACAAUGGGGGCAACCCUGAUCCAGCCAUGCCGCGUGAGUGAUGAAGGCCCUAGGGUUGUAAAGCUCUUUCACCGGUGAAGAUAAUGACGGUAACCGGAGAAGAAGCCCCGGCUAACUUCGUGCCAGCCGCCGCAGUAACAC
rnacentral:rRNA from 1 species